AUUUUCUAGGAAUGGCAAUGCUGACAAUCCUGCUUUGGAGUGGAGCUGAGAAGUUCAGCGUUCAGCUAUUCCCUCCUUGCUGAUGAACAAUUUUUGAGCGCCUGCGUGAGAUAUUUCUCAACCAGGAGGAGAUUGUAACCAUAACUUAGGGUCCGUCCAACUUUUUUCCUGCUUUCUACGUGCUCAACUCUCUACUUGAAGUGUCAGUGAGCAGCGAAGACAACGAAAGGGCAUAGUAAAUGUAAGAUGAGAGUAAUUGUGAGCCCAACUCAAUAGGAAAUGGAUGAAAUGCCAUAAAAUAGGGUCAAAACUGCCACCAGCCCAAAGGGAUAUGUAUUUUGAACCGACUGCUUCCUGGCCGUGCUUUGUCAGAAUCUCGUUUGCCCCCUGCCUCCAGAUCUUCCCUUGACUUGAUUUGGGAUGUCAUACAGCGAGCGUUACGUGAUUAAAGACUUAAUUGAUUAGGGAUAAUGGGAGUAGUUAAAUUUUAAUCCAGCCUGCUGCGGUACCCUUCAGAAAUGGGAUCAAUGCUGUUGCCUAGGUCUCCUCUGUGGGAUGAGGGAGGUUGCCAGCUGAGGUCAGGGCUUCAGCAGUUCCUUGGAGCUGUUUAUUGUAGUAAUUGUGCUGACUUUUACUCAAAAUACCCCGAUGUAUAUCUGGAAAUGUGCCUUAUAUGGGACAUAGAGUUUUAAUUAUGCUUCAGGUGUAGUAAUUACCCUCCAAACCUCGUUUUCCUAUUGAUUAGGAGGGGGCUACAUGCAAUUUGAUCAGCAUCAUAUGGUGCUCGGGUGGUGUUUAAAGCCCCGAGGGACUUAAAUCUGAUGAACAUAGCUGCCCGAAGACCUGAAGCCCAGCACCACGCCGUGUCUGGGAGCAUUUAACUGAGGCAGCGUGGCCGAAGAAGGUCAUCCUCAUUUUAUUUUUAAUGUCAUGCUGAAACACCGAAUGCACUUCAAAAUUGUCUCCUUGUAACUAUGGCACUUGAAAAGUUGGGUCAGUUUGGGGAAAAUGCUCCUCAAAUGUGGCCCUACAG